rnacentral:rRNA from 1 species
AGCAGCCGCGGUAAUUCCAGCUCCAAUAGCGUAUAUUAAAGUUGUUGCAGUUAAAAAGCUCGUAGUUGAAUUUCGGGAUCAAUAUGUUGGUCGUGCCUUGGUACGUACUGGCAUUAUUGGUUUCUACCUUCUGAAGAACCUCGAUGUCAUUAAUUUGGUGUCUUGGGGAAUCAGGACUGUUACUUUGAAAAAAUUAGAGUGUUUAAAGCAGGCUCGCGCUUGAAUACAUUAGCAUGGAAUAAUGAAAUAGGACGUUUGAUUCUAUUUUGUUGGUUUCUAGGAUUGACGUAAUGAUUAAUAGGGAUAGUUGGGGGCAUUAGUAUUCAAUUGUCAGAGGUGAAAUUCUUGGAUUUAUUGAAGACUAACUACUGCGAAAGCAUUUGCCAAGGAUGUUUUCAUUAAUCAAGAACGAAAGUUAGGGGAUCGAAGACGAUCAGAUACCGUCGUAGUCUUAACCAUAAACUAUGCCGACCAGGGAUUGGCGGAUGUUGCUCAUUGGACUCCGCCAGCUACC